rnacentral:lncRNA from 1 species
GAGACAUUGAAUCAAUCCAAAAUAAAGAAACCAAUGAUGGUCUAGGUAUUGGUGGUCUACACUAAGCCAUUGUUGUAAUAAUCAUCCAAAAUAGCUUAUUAUUUUUAAAAAUAGAUAAACAAAUAUCUAACAAAAUUAUUGUGAACAAUGACCAAUUUAAUAUCUUUUGUUGAAUACAACAAAGAUUAUACAAUACAACCAAUAGUAGCAAAUGAAGCCAUAAUAUAAUGCUUAUAAAAUAUAAUCGAUUGUGCUUCAAAUUUUUUCAUAUUGUGUAUUUGGAUCAAGGAUCAAUAAUGUACCAUAAAUCAAUAC